GUGAAUCAUCGAAUUUUUGAACGCAAAUUGCACUCUCUUCGGAGAGUAUGCCUGUUUGAGGGUCAGCCUAAAAAAAUUGAUAUAGCCGCUGUUCCCCGGUGACAUUCGUCGCUAAUUGGGUCAUCUUAAACCUCUGGGUCUUAAGCGGCCUAAAUUUCUCUUUACGAUUCCACGAACGUCUCUAGGAUUUACUUCUUACACGUUUAAGGUAAUCGAUCUAUAUUAGACGUGGCCGUGCCAUCGGAUCGCGCCCAUAAAUAUUUCGU
rnacentral:misc_RNA from 1 species